rnacentral:rRNA from 1 species
UACGAAGGGGGCUAGCGUUGUUCGGAAUCACUGGGCGUAAAGCGCACGUAGGCGGAUUCUUAAGUCAGGGGUGAAAUCCUGGAGCUCAACUCCAGAACUGCCUUUGAUACUGGGAAUCUCGAGUCCGGGAGAGGUGAGUGGAACUGCGAGUGUAGAGGUGAAAUUCGUAGAUAUUCGCAAGAACACCAGUGGCGAAGGCGGCUCACUGGCCCGGUACUGACGCUGAGGCGCGAAAGCGUGGGGAGCAAACAGG